UGAAGAGUUUGAUCAUGGCUCAGAUUGAACGCUGGCGGCAGGCCUAACACAUGCAAGUCGAACGGUAACAGGAAGCAGCUUGCUGCUUUGCUGACGAGUGGCGGACGGGUGAGUAAUGUCUGGGAAACUGCCUGAUGGAGGGGGAUAACUACUGGAAACGGUGGCUAAUACCGCAUAACGUCGCAAGACCAAAGAGGGGGACCUUCGGGCCUCUUGCCAUCAGAUGUGCCCAGAUGGGAUUAGCUUGUUGGUGAGGUAACGGCUCACCAAGGCGACGAUCCCUAGCUGGUCUGAGAGGAUGACCAGCCACACUGGAACUGAGACACGGUCCAGACUCCUACGGGAGGCAGCAGUGGGGAAUAUUGCACAAUGGGCGCAAGCCUGAUGCAGCCAUGCCGCGUGUAUGAAGAAGGCCUUCGGGUUGUAAAGUACUUUCAGCGGGGAGGAAGGUGUUGUGGUUAAUAACCGCAGCAAUUGACGUUACCCGCAGAAGAAGCACCGGCUAACUCCGUGCCAGCAGCCGCGGUAAUACGGAGGGUGCAAGCGUUAAUCGGAAUUACUGGGCGUAAAGCGCACGCAGGCGGUCUGUCAAGUCGGAUGUGAAAUCCCCGGGCUCAACCUGGGAACUGCAUUCGAAACUGGCAGGCUUGAGUCUUGUAGAGGGGGGUAGAAUUCCAGGUGUAGCGGUGAAAUGCGUAGAGAUCUGGAGGAAUACCGGUGGCGAAGGCGGCCCCCUGGACAAAGACUGACGCUCAGGUGCGAAAGCGUGGGGAGCAAACAGGAUUAGAUACCCUGGUAGUCCACGCCGUAAACGAUGUCUACUUGGAGGUUGUGCCCUUGAGGCGUGGCUUCCGGAGCUAACGCGUUAAGUAGACCGCCUGGGGAGUACGGCCGCAAGGUUAAAACUCAAAUGAAUUGACGGGGGCCCGCACAAGCGGUGGAGCAUGUGGUUUAAUUCGAUGCAACGCGAAGAACCUUACCUGGUCUUGACAUCCACGGAAGUUUUCAGAGAUGAGAAUGUGCCUUCGGGAACCGUGA
rnacentral:rRNA from 1 species